rnacentral:rRNA from 1 species
GACGAACGCUGGCGGCGUGCUUAACACAUGCAAGUCGAACGGAAAGGCCUGUCCUUCCUUGUGUUGGACGGGUACUCGAGUGGCGAACGGGUGAGUAACACGUGAGUGAUCUGCCCCCAACUUGGGUAUAAGCCUGGGAAACUGGGUCUAAUUCCCGAUCGGACUGCAGGGUGGUGCCUGUGGUGGAAAACGAUUUUCUAGUGGUUGGGGAUGAGCUCGCGGCCUAUCAGCUUGUUGGUGGGGUAAUGGCCUACCAAGGCGGCGACGGGUAGCCGGCCUGAGAGGGUGGACGGCCGCAUUGGGACUGGGACCCGGCCCCGACGCCUGCGGGAGGCAGGGGUGGGGAAUAUUGGGCAAUGGGCGGAAGCCUGAUGCAGCGACGCCGCGUGGGGGAUGUCGGCCUUCGGGUUGUAAACUCCUUUCGACCGCGAGGAAGCCGCCUGGUUGGAAGGGUGGUGACGGUAGUGGUAGAAGAAGCACCGGCUAACUACGUG